rnacentral:lncRNA from 1 species
CUGUGAACGAGAAAGAUCCUGCCACCUAGUAGCUGGAGCAUGGUUCUGGGAAAACCGGAGCCAGAUGUGAUACUGGUAUGAACCAAGGCACCUCAUGACGUCCCUGAUUCAUGGGUUACACAGAGAUAUAUAGACAUUUCCGUACUGAGAACAUUGCCCCACCACUGCUUGGCACUUUGCCUUAGCAUGAUUAAUUGGAGUAUGUAGGUAUUAUAUCACAGGCUCCCCAAACCAGCACCACAACCAAGAGAGAGCACGUUGUAAGUACCUCAGAGUGAUGCAGUUAAACACUCCAAUCAUAAAACAUAUUCAGAGAAAUAAUUAAAAUUAAGACAAUUAGAGUACAAUCCAGAUAAUGUUCUUGGGAACAAGCUCCCACUUAUCUUUGUAAAUUGAGAUUUAUCCUUUAUUUCCCUUUCCACCCGCAGGAAGAAUGACCUAGAAUGUAAAGUGCUAACUCUUCGGGGACUGUCUUAAGAAGGGGAAAAAGAUGCAGGUCAGGCCAGUUUGGACCUGACGGUGCUCCCAAGUGCCACUGUAUCCACAGAGUUCACCGUACCCCUUGUGAUGGGAGCUGCACUUGCCCCUGGAAGAGAAUGGGCCCAACCUGUGAGGAAAAUGAUUUGGACGAUCCUGAACAACCAAAUACAGCUUUUCAGUGGGUGAAUAGAAUUUUGCCAGGGUUCACCCAUGGUUCAUCAUCUUAACUUUGGCAGAGAAAUGUACUUACUCAACUAUCUUCAGCCCAACUUCGCCUGUUGUGAGGUGAAAAACAGGACGUCUCAACUUUAUGGCUUCCAAGUAUAAGUUCCUUUCUCUCUACCCUUCCCAACUGCCUUUUGCUGAAGAACAUGCCCAAGAAAUAGGGAAUGUUUUUCCAAGAUCCCAAUCAUAGUAACAUUUUGGACUAAUAAAUAAAACUCUCUCUCUCUUUUUUUAUAUGCA